rnacentral:rRNA from 1 species
UGAGGAAUAUUGCACAAUGGAGGAAACUCUGAUGCAGCCAUGCCGCGUGCAGGACGACUGCCCUAUGGGUUGUAAACUGCUUUUUUACAAGAAGAAACAUUGGUACGUGUACCAACUUGACGGUAUUGUAAGAAUAAGCACCGGCUAACUCCGUGCCAGCAGCCGCGGUAAUACGGAGGGUGCAAGCGUUAUCCGGAUUUAUUAGGUUUAAAGGGUUCGCAGGCGGAAUUUUAAGUCAGUGGUGAAAGCCUAUAGCUCAACUAUAGAACUGCCACUGAUACUGAUAUUCUUGAGUGUAGAUGAAGUGGGCGGAAUAUGUCAUGUAGCGGUGAAAUGCAUAGAUAUGACAUGGAACACCAAUUGCGAAGGCAGCUCACUAAACUAUUACUGACGCUCAUGAACGAAAGCAUGGGGAGCGAACAGG